UACGUAGGGGGCAAGCGUUGUCCGGAAUCAUUGGGCGUAAAGAGCGUGUAGGCGGUCCGGUAAGUCGGCUGUGAAAGUCCAGGGCUCAACCCUGGGAUGCCGGUCGAUACUGCCGGACUAGAGUUCGGAAGAGGCGAGUGGAAUUCCAGGUGUAGCGGUGAAAUGCGUAGAUAUCUGGAGGAAUACCGGUGGCGAAGGCGGCAUCCUGGACCGGCAUUGACGCUGAGUGAGCGAAAGCCAGGGGAGCAAACGGG
rnacentral:rRNA from 1 species